AAUAUUGCGCAAUGGAGGGAACUCUGACGCAGCGACGCCGCGUGAGCGAUGAAGGUCUUCGGAUCGUAAAGCUCUGUCCUUGGGGAAGAAGGGAGCCGUAAGGCUUCUUGACGGUACCCAUGGAGGAAGCCCCGGCUAACUACGUGCCAGCAGCCGCGGUAAUACGUAGGGGGCAAGCGUUGUCCGGAAUUAUUGGGCGUAAAGGGUGCGUAGGCGGCCCUUUAAGUCAGAUGUGAAAGCCCACGGCUUAACCGUGGGACUGCAUUUGAAACUGUGUAGCUUGAGUGCAGGAGAGGAAAGUGGAAUUCCUAGUGUAGCGGUGAAAUGCGUAGAGAUUAGGAGGAACACCAGUGGCGAAGGCGACUUUCUGGACUGUAACUGACGCUGAGGUACGAAAGCGUGGGUAGCGAACA
rnacentral:rRNA from 1 species